AGAUCAGAAAAUCAUAAGACAGCAUUAAAAAGUACUAUACAGGAGGAGAUGGAACAAGAUGGCCAAAUAGAAGCCUCCAGCAAUCAUCUCCCCGAAAGGAAUUGAACAACUAUCAAAACAAAAUUGAACAACUAUCUAAACAAAAAAGUACCUUCAUAAAAAACAAAAAUCAGGUGAACGAUGCUUCUCUUCUGUCAGCCUGCAACUG
rnacentral:lncRNA from 1 species